AUUGAACGCUGGCGGCAGGCUUAACACAUGCAAGUCGAGCGAGCGGCGGACGGGUGAGUAAUGUCUGGGAAACUGCCUGAUGGAGGGGGAUAACUACUGGAAACGGUAGCUAAUACCGCAUACCAUCAGAUGUGCCCAGAUGGGAUUAGCUAGUAGGUGGGGUAAUGGCUCACCUAGGCGACGAUCCCUAGCCGGUCUGAGAGGAUGACCGGCCACACUGGAACUGCGACACGGUCCAGACUCCUACGGGAGGCAGCAGUAGGGAAUAUUGCACAAUGGACGCAAGCCUGAUGCAGCCAUGCCGCGUGUGUGAAGAAGGCCUUCGCGUUGUAAAGCACUUUCGUCGGGGAGGCGUUACUCGCAGAGAAAGCACCGGCUAACUCCGUGCCAGCCGCCGCGGUAAUUC
rnacentral:rRNA from 1 species